AUAUUAGUCAAUGCUCGAAAGAGUGAACUAGCUAACUGAAAUCAUUUUUAUGAUGUCGUAAGGGAAAAUAAUGAUAAAACCUUACUAUGAGUGCUGUCUAAAUUUAGUGCCAGAAGACUCGGUAAUGCUAAAAGCGCUAACGUUAGUCAUCUUAAACAGGCGUAAAGGGUUUGUAGGCAGCUUUAAAAGUAUUAAUUUCAUAUAGCAUAAUAGAAAUUAAUAGUUAAUAAAAGCUAGAAUCUAAUAGGGGAUAUUGAUAGUUUUAGAGAAGGUCUAGGAAUCCGGCAUACUAAAAAGGGAGCCUAAAGCGCAGGCAAUAUAUCCAUUAAUGAUUGACGCUGAGAAACGAAAGUAAGGACAGGAAACGGGAUUAGAGACCCUGGUACCCCUCACUGUAAACGAUGAAUGGUAAUUAUUAAAUCUAAUUUAGUGAUAAGGUUAACACGUGAACCAUUCCGCCUUGUGAGUACGACUGCAAAGUUGAAAACAAAAAAAUUAGUCGGUCUCGGAGCAAACGAAGUGAAGUAUGUUAUUUAAUUC
rnacentral:rRNA from 1 species